CCUUGUUGGGCGAGUUGGUAUUUCUUCUGCAUGAAGAUCUUUGCUUCGUUUUGCUCCGAGUAGAAAACAAGAGUCUCUGCCUGACUGGUUGCACUGCACUCCUCCCUUUCCCUCCUUUGCCAAGAUGUGUCUGUAGGCAUGCUCCCCAAGUUAUUUUAAAGACAGGCUGGCACUAAGGCACUCACAGUCAAAGGGGAGGAAAAAGAUGAAGACAGAUAUUUGCUCUUUGCUGGCAGGGGACAGCAAGCCACUGGAAAAGUACCCCUUUGGAGGAUAAGAGAGACUCUUCCUCUUUGGAUGUCAGAGUAACACACACACCUCCCUGCUCUCCAAAGGGAAAACAACUGCCUGUAGGACAAUUUGUUGCCUGAAAGGAUCCACUGAGAUGCAACAAGCUCUGUUUAGAAACGGACAUAUCCAGCCUGGAGCACGGGGAGACAGUAAAGCAUCUGUUUGACUUCCUCAACGGGUUUGCUGUGUGUAAAUCAUUUAUCCCUUCUCCUGCUCCCCUUCCUUGACUCUCACAAUUUGUAUUUUUGUGUUAAAAAAAGCGAUGCCUGCCUUUCUGUUGGUGAGCAGCUUGGGACACAUUGCCUGGAGUCUGACCUCAAAGUAGGGUGGGAUUUGAAUCUGAAAUCCACUCGGUUUGAUCUCACAAGAACUGCCGCGCUGCACAGCUUGUACAUCUUUAGUAAAAGGCAAGCCUUCAAAUCCAUCCUUUUCAGAGGCCUGUCUCUGUUGUCAGCUGCCAUCUUUUGAGAGAAAGAUCUAAAAUUAGAGAAAAGCUGCCCUCCACUGCUGGAGAAUACCGCUGCUGUGACAUAUGAAAGCAGAAAUAAGCUUCAAAUAAAGGUCUUCUGCUUAGGCUCACGUAACGAGCAAGAAAGGCUUUGGGUCUUUCCUGUCCAGACCGGCAUUUGUGGGAUCUGAUUUAAAUAGGCAGCCACAGCACCGAUGCUUAUCUUUGUCUGCCUAAGCGU